UAUUUUUCCAACAAGAUUAGCACUUUUACCUCCAGCAACUACUACAGCAUUAAAUGAUGAACUUACAGUUUUCAAAAGUAUAUUCAUUAAUUAUGAACAUCUUGACUACACUAAGUUAUCAGAGAAAAGGGAAGUGAUUUAGCUCUUGAUCACAGAGACCCAGAGCAUCAGUAAAUCAAGUGAUGACAAAAGCAAAGAACUCCAUAAUGACUCAGCUAUUCUCAAUCAGGCUGUGUUAAAACCACUCAGGUUGAGCAUGGGGAAGCUCAGCCGGUACAAGUGGUAGUCAGUGUUCCCCUGACAGUAUAAUUUUUAUGGUGUUUGUUUUAUCAAACAUAAAUGUGCAACUUGACUGCCACAAACUUCCAGAAAGAAAAAAAACACAAAGAUAUCAUCGCAGAACAUAAAAUAAGGUCUAUAUUCAGCUUCUCUGGAGAAGAGCAGAAAAAUCUACUGCUGUGAAGCAUGUCUUCUUAUGAAAAGAGUUCAGAAGGAAAAAUGUCUGAGCUUCUCUGGAGAAGAGCAGAAAAUCUGCUGCCGUGAAGUAUGUCCUCUUAUGAAAAGAGUUCAUAUUCAAACACUAACUUUAAAGAUUAUUAUGUGCAACCAACUUAACUGCUCUAUGGCAGAACUGGGAUUAAAAUUCAAGUUUGACAAUUUUCAAAAUCCUUCUCAAAAUUAGCUCAAUGUAACCUUUCCACAAUGUACACAUAUUUCAAAACAUUAUGUUGUGCAUGAUAAACCCAUACAAUUUUUAUUUGCCAGUUGUACAUAAAUAAUUGAUUAAUUAAACCAACCAACCAACACACACCCACACCAAAAACCUUCUUUGAAACUGUAAGCAUGGAAAAUACUGAAGUUUUCACCUGAAUGAAUUAAAAUCUCAAUUUAAAUAUGAUUGAAACCAAAUUAAAUUUGAACUUCUUGUAUUUAUUGAACUUCUGUUAAAUAAAUUGCACGUCCAAAAGGACACUUGUACUUUAUUAGCCUUUUCCAUCUUCCAGCUGGGGAUGUAUGGUAGUGGUAGUGGGAAGUGGGGAAAGGAAUAUAAUUGAGGAAUUAAGUAAAUAAUUCAAAAACCUUUAGAAUGUAAGUGCGAACUCUAUACCAGAAAGUAGAAUUUCACAUUUGCUUUCCAGUGCAUGAAAAGUCAAGGCUAUUGAUGGACAGUCUAUUUCUUAGACAAUGUGAAUUUCUAAAAAUUGACCAAACAAUGAGGUCUAUUUAUUUGAGGAAUAGGAUUCAUAUGCAACACGAGUUCAUACCUCAGACCUUGGAUAAGUUCAACUAAAGUGACACAGCUAUUUAAUCAAAAGAUGAGAGCACUCCAAUGACAACUUCUUAAAUUGAUCUGGAAUUUGAUUGCUGUGUAGGUAUAAUAUUAGCCAAACACAACUUUUGUUUCAUGUGUACUUUUGCAGCUAAGUAACAUAAGUUAUAUAAUCACCUUUAACAUUACUGCCAGAUAUUGUAUGAAUAUUUAAGAAUAACUGCAUUUUAACUUAAAUUAAAAGCCAUUUGUCUUUGAUUAACUAUACUUAUUCCAGAUUGUUAAACAAUGUGCUUGACAUUCACUUGAGAGUUUUGAGAAGGCACGUAGUUUUGUUGUGUUUGCUGGCAGUUCAAUCUUUGUGUAUACACACAUGCAUUUAACGACUGUAAAGAAGAGAUCACAAAUUCGUGAUGCGCAACUAGAACAUAAAUUAUUUUCAUUGCAAGCUAUAACUGCAACGACAAGAGAAGUUUUAUGAUACAUUUUUGUCACUAAUAUGAAUGUUAAAGAGUUGAGAAUUUACGUGUUAGGAGGCACGCUCAACUAGAUUGUGAAACAAUAGUUUCUAACAGCUCUGAAGGAGCUAUUAGAUUGUGUAAAAAAAUGUGUUCUAAAAAGUCCCUAAAUAUGUAUUUAUAUAAUUGGAGCUAUUAUGGUUUAUUGUAUCAAUUACUCAUGUACUAAAGAAGAAAGAACCAACAGCUUAAAACACUUUCAUUAAAGGGGUUGGCAGUUACACACAAGCAACCCAAUCUUGAGCCUUUGAAGAGGUUAAGACAAACAAUGUAAAUGUUCUUGUAAAAUUAUCUGUAAUAUCUCUAAACACAACUUCUACUUGGGAAUAAAAAUAGUGUGUAUUUGUAAUGAUGAUCAAAUAAGGAUUAUAGAAUUGUUACAGGAUGAAAAUCAUACCCCGUACAUUGUGUCAAGCUAUUUUAAAAUAAAAAGAAAUGAAAGUAGGGGAAGAAAAGCCUGAAUUUUUGUAGACACUACCAAGACUGGCUUUCUGAUUUUGUUUAAUUGACAUCUAUAUAUGAAGACACUAAUAAAUAGCCUUUGCUUCAGGUUUUGUUGUUGUUAUUGUUUUAUGCAUUUAAUCUAGAUUGGAGGAAAAGGAAUUCUAUACAGGAAAUGCUAAUUAACAAUACAGAACGAAAGCACAAGAAAUGUGAUGCAGCUUUAAUUGUCAAAUCUUAAAUACUACAGCUUCAGAGAAUGUGUAAAUAAAUUUGUGACAGAAUGUUUUUUGCAGUUUUCAUUCAUUGUCAUUUUCCAGGGGGUUUUGAUGUAAAGAGUUUUCAUUUGCAGAUAUAGAGGACAAAGAUAAUAGUAGGGCAGGAAAUAAUUUACAAACUAGCAGGCUGAAUUAUUAUAAUAAAUCUCACUUGGCUAAAGAUGAUAAUGAUGUGAUAAUAACUGUUUCUUUCCCUAUUAUUCUCUAUGGAGUGAACUUAGUAAAAAUAACUUGGUGGGCAUUUCAACAGACACAUUGGAAGUUUACUAUUUCCUUUGAGUUAGGUAGGGCUGAAUGGUUGAUAUACACUGGGGGAUUUUAACAUUAUACAUAACUUUGCAAGUGUAGAAAUGACCAAUAUAAGCUAAAAAUUUUAAAUUGUUCCACAAGAUAUUCUUGGGCAUUUUUAUCCCCUGGUAGAUUUUCAGACACUGAGGUUCCCCCUAAUGCAAUAUAAAAAUGUUAAAAUAAUACCUAGUUCACAAUUAAGAAUUGAGGUUUCUUAAUGUUCUAUGUAAAUAAUAACAUAAUCAAAACUACUUUUCAAACACCAUGUUUUUUGCUUUUAUUAAUUUUCCUAUCUAGCCCACUAAGUACUGCACUAAUCAACAUAUAUUAUUGGCCAAUUAGCAUGAACAUUAAAACUAGGAAUGUUGGCAUUUUAAUCCUAAGAAAUAAAUAACUCAAUAGGGGAAAUAUGUCACCUACCACCAUUCAGCUAAUUGAGUAAAGAAAAACUAUAUCUACAUAAUGCACAUAAAGUUAGUAUAAGUUUAGUUGGGCAUUUGUCUUGAUAGAUGUUAAAAUCCCUGUAGAAUUUACUUUGAUUAUUAAACUCAAAAAUUUUUUUUUUGUUUUACAAAAAUAUUUUUUACACUCCAGGAAUUUACUUUAAUGAUAAUAUUUACAUUUCUAUAUUUUUGAAUUUAAUAAAAUAAUUAUAAUAAGUACAAGUAAGUGUGUAUUGAAUACUGAUUAUGUACCAGUCAUUGUGCUAAAUACUUUAUAUGAAAUAACCCUUUUAGUAUCAAAAUAGCCCUAGGAAGAAGCUGGGGGAGCUCAUGAGGUUAGCAAGAAACCUUAAACAAAUAGCUGGGAAGUGACAAAGAAUUACAUUUAAUAAAAAGAAGUAUCAUUACUUUAAUUUUGUUAUUCUGCUUAUAUAUGUUGGUUCACUUUGCCAAGAAAUUCCCUCAAUCCCAUUCCCCUUUCAUACUGAUAAAUAAAAGCUGUCUAUAAUUCAAAGUUCAAUUUAUAUUUUCUCUAAGAAGCCUUUCUACAUCUCUUUACCUGAAGCAUCUCCAACAUUCCAAACUUCCAUAGUAGAAGGUAAACCUUCAUUGAGCACCCAUUAUACUCUACUCUUUUAUUAAAUUAUGCAUACAAGAAUUUAUUUAGCUUAAUUGUAUUGUGACUUUAUUUUUUAUUUUGUGGGUAUAUAAUGGGUAUAUAUGUAUGGGUUAUAUGAGACAUUUUGAUACAGGCAUGCAAUGUCUAAUAAUCAUAUGUGGGUAAAUGGGGUAUCUAUCACCACAAGCAUUUAUUCUUUGUGUUACAAACAACCCAGUUACACUCUUCUAGUUAUUUUUAAAUGUACAGCUAAAUUAUUUUUGAUUAUACUCACCCUGUUAUGUUAGCCAAUACCAGGUCUUAUUCUAUCCUAAUUAUAUUAUAAAUGACAGGAGGUCAGGAAUUAUGGUUCUGUUAUACUAGUGUCUUCUGCAGACUCCACUAAAAUAAGCAUUUGCUGAAUUUAUGCUGUAUUCCUCUAUUUAUAAAUACAGUAUACUUAGUUUAAUAAAAUUCAAAUUACAUUUUAUGAUAUCAUGUAAAGCAAUAAAAAUUCAUGCACUAUAGAAAAAUAUAAUUGUUCUACUUCUAAUAAGAUAGUUAAAUAGAAAAAUAAUACAAGAUACCAUAAUGACUAAUAAUGUCAAUUAAGGACCACAGUAAUAAAGGACCACAGUAAUAUAAAACAGGAUAACAAAAUUGAAAAAAAUUUACAUUGAUUAUUUUUGAUACUAUUGCAUCCUUUAGAAAAAGAUAGUCAACACUAACCCUUCAUAAAAUCUACUGCAAUAAUAAUUUAAAUAAUGGUUUUGAUUUUAUUUUGUGUCCAUAUUUCAUUAAUUAAAACAUUACUCGGCCGAGCAUGGUGGCUCAUGGCUGUAAUCCCAGGACGUUGGGAUCCAUCCACGAGGUGGAUGGAUCACCUGAGAUUAGGAGUUUAAGACAAGCCUGGCCUACAUGAUGAAACCCUGUCCCUACUAAAAAUACAAAAAAACAGCUGGGCAUGGGGGUGGGUGCCUGUAAUGCCAGCUACUGGAGAGGCUGAGGCAAGGAGAAUCGCUUGAACCCAGGAGGCAGAGGUUGCAGUGAGCCGAGAUCACACCAUUGCACUCCAGUCUGGGCAACAAGAGUGAAACUCCAUCUCAAUUUAAAAAAAAAAAUUACUCAAAGAGAAAAGCAUACGCGUUAGCAGAAAAUACUUUGAAAUUUCCCAGAAUGUAAGCUAUCUUUUUCAAAUUAAUGACGUAAAGUUAUAUAUGAGAAAAGGUCUUGGUGGGUAGGGGGGAUUGAGGUUUCAUAAAAUCAGUGAUUAAAAUAUUUUAAUAUAUUCUUUUUUAUAUUUAUUUAGAUAUCACCUACAUUUAAAGCAGUUAUUUGGUAAAUUCUGCUUUAUUUCUGAUAAUAGUAGACAGAGAUGAGAAGUAACAAUAAUGUUUUCAAAUACCUAAAUGCCACCUUUUUUUAAAAAAAAAAGCAAAUAGAAUUCUUGUGAACUUCCUUCUGACAUUUUUAACAAGUUUUUCUGUUCACAUAUUGUUUUUAUUAAAGCAUUUGCAUUUGCACUUUGUGAAAUAAAAUUUGAUACACCAGAAACCUGUUCCACCAUUAUCUCUUGAGACCUUGAGGUAAUAAAAAGUUCAUACUACAGCUCUUCAUCUUCUUUUACAACUACUGCAAAUAAAGGGCACCUAUCUGGGACACAAAAACCAAAGAGAAGAAAAAUAUGUCAUUUUGCUUUUGCUAUUGUUGAUGAUGAUGAUUUUAAAGAUGGCAAAUAAAUACACUGAUUUUUUUAUCUCUUAAAAUGGUCCAUCCAAGGCAUUCCCAUGUAACCUUUCCAUAUUUAAAAUAUUAAGUUGAACAUAAUGCCCAUUCAAAAAUAUGUUCUUGGCACACACCAGACACUUAAAUGCAAAAACAAAUUUCUUUUUUUUUUUGAGAUGGAGUUUUGCUCUUGUUGCCCAAGCUGGGGUGUGAUGGCGUGAUCUCGGCCCACUGCAACCUCCACCUCCCUGGUUCAAGCGAUUCUCCUGCCUCAGCCUCCCGAGUAGCUGGGAUUACAGGCAUGCGCAACCACGUCCGGCUAUUUUUUUGUAUUUUUAGUAGAAACGGGGUUUUUCCAUGUUAGCCAGCUGGUCUUGAACUCCUGACCUCAGGUAAUCCACUCGCCUUGGCCUCCCAAAGUGCUGGGAUUACAGGCGUGAGCCACCGCACCCGGCCAACAAAUUUCUUAUAUGUUGAAAGUACUGACUCUGAACAACUGGAGUAUAGCUAGCACAUCUCUGAAGUUUGGAAACUGACAUAGGCAAAGCAGAUCACCAGAAUGUAAUUACAUGUGGCUGUAGCUAAACUAUCCUUGGUAGGCACUUCUAUAUUUAUAAUGUUACUAAAUAAAUAUGAAAACACAUUAUAUUUAUCCACCAAGGUUAUUUUCUAGAAAAAUUAUGUUCUACACAAUUUAAGAAAGUAAUGAAGAAUGUUUGGCAUAACUAUAGUGUCAUGAGUAUAAAAGGUAAUGACCAACUUCUCUUAGCAAAUGGACACAUUUUUUUAAAAUUUGCCUAUGAGAUUGUCUAUGAAAAUAAAUGUUUACUAGAGAAAGUCAGAUUUAGCAAUACUAAAUAUGUACUUGAAUUAUUUCUCAUAUGAAAUUUACAUGGAGGCUGGGUGCAGUGGCUUACACCUGUAAUCCCAACACUUUGGGAGGCCAAGCUGGGCCGUCAGGAGGUCAGGAGUUUGAGACCAGCCUGGCCAACAUGGUGAAACCCCGUCUCUACUAAAAAUACAAAAAAAUUAGCAGAGCGUGGUGACACGGGCCUGUAGUCCCAGCUAACCAGGGGCUGAGGCAGGAGAAUCGCUUCAUCUAAGAAGGCGGAGGGUGCAGUGAGGUGAGAUUGCCUCACUGCUCUCCAGCCUGGGUGACAGAGCGAGCCUCCCUCUCCAAAAACAAAAGAAGAAAAGAAAUUCACAUGGAAUUAAUGUUUAUCUAGUAUUUAUUCCUCCUAUGGUAAGAGUUUUAUAUAUUAUCAUAAUGAUAGGCCAGAAUUUUAAAUGCACUAAGAGCUGACACAUAAUCUGCUGGUUGAAUGAAAGAACUUAGCUAAUUCCAUGGAAACUUCUAAUUCUUUUUUUUUUGUUGUUGUUGUUUUCUUUUUGAGACGGAUUCUCACUCUGUCGCCCAGGCUGGAGUCCAGUUGGCGCGAUCUCGGCUCACUGCAACCUCCGCCUCCUGGGUUCAAGCAAUUCUCCUGCCUCAGCCUCCCAAGUAGCUGGGAUUCCGUGUGCCGCCGCACCUGGCUAAUUUGUAUUUUUAGUAGAAAUGGGGUUUCACCUUGUUAGCCAGGAUGGUCUCGAUUUCCUGUCCCUCGUGAUCCGCCCACCUCGGCCUCCCAAAGUGCUGGGAUUACAGGCGUGAGUCACCGCACCCACCCAGAAACUUCUAAUUCUUAAAGGACCAAGAGAUAUGCUUAUGAAGAGAGCUGCUUCUUAGAAGAUUGUUAUAGGGGACUAGAUGAAGUUAAAGUUUGUCAAUGAGAAAAACUCACUUGAGGCUUGGAAAGUGGAAUGAAGAGAUAGCACAUGAUUUCCUGGAGCAGUUGCGGAGACAUCUGUGAGCAGUUGUAAACAAAAGGAUUUCUGUUUCAGUAAUUUAAUGGAGUAAGUUAUUCAAGCCGAAGGCAGACCCAGAAGUAAUAAUUCUACUUAGGCUAAUCUAACACUUGGCAAUAUAAAUUGAUUGUUUCUUUUGUAAUUAGUUGACAGCGUGCGCCCUUGCUUGCUCUUGGCGCCUCCUCGGCCUUGGCGCCCACUCUGGCCACGCUUGAGGAGCCCUUCAGCCCACCGCUGCACUGUGGGAGCCCCUUUCUGGGCUGGCCAAGGCCAGAGCCGGCUCCUUCAGAUUGCAGGGAGGUGUGGAGGGAGAGGGGCGAGCAGGAACUGGGGCUGCGCGUGGUGCUUGCAGGCCAGCACGAGUUCCGGGUGGGCAUGGGCUCAGCGGGCCCCCGACUCGGAGCAGCCGGCCGGGCCCCGCUGGCCCGGGGCAGUGAGGGGCUUAGCACCUGGGGCAGCAGCUGCUAUACUCAAUUUCUUGCCGGGCCUUAGGUGCCUUCCCGCGGGGCAGGGCUCAGGACCUGCAGCCCGCCAUGCCUGAGCCUCCCCCCAUCCGUAGGCUCCUGUGCGGUCCAAGCCUCCCAGACAAGCGCUGCCCCCUGCUCCACACCGGCCCCCAGUCCCAUUGACCACCCAAGGGCUGAGGAGUGCGGGGCAAACGGCGCAGGACUGGCAGGCAGCUCCACCUGUGGCCCUAGUGCCGGAUUCACUGGGUGAAGUCAGCUGGGCUCCUGACUCUGGUGGGGACUUGGAGAACCUUUAUGUCUAGCUAGGGGAUUGUAAAUACGCCAAUCGGCACUCUGUAUCUAGCUCAAGGUUUGUAAACACACCAAUCAGCACCCUGUGUCUAACUCAGGGUUUGUGAAUGCACGAAUGGACACUCUGUAUCUGGUGGGGACUUGGAGAACCUUUGUGUGGACACUAUCUAGCUAAUCUAGUGGGGACGUGGAGAACCUUUGCGUCUAGCUCAGGGAUUGUAAACACACCAAUCAGCACCCUGUCAAAACAGACCACUGGGCUCUCUGUAAAAUGGACCAAUCAGCAGGAUGUGGGUGGGGCCAGAUAAGAAUAAAAUCAGGCUGCCGGAGCCAGCAGUGGCAACCCGCUCGGUCCCCUUCCACACCAUGGAAGUUUUGUUCUUUCGCUGUAUGCAAUAAAUCUUGCUGCUGCUCACUUUUUGGGUCCACGCUGCCUUUAUGAGCUAUAACACUCACCACGAAGGUCUGCAGCUUCACUCCCGAAGCCAGCGAGACCACGAACCCACCGGGAGGAAGGAGCAACUCCAGACGCGCCACCUUAAGAGCUGUAACACUCACCGCGAAGGUCCGCAGCUUCACUCCUGAGCCAGCGAGACCGCGAACCCCACCAAAAGGAAGAAACUCCGAACACAUCUGAAGCACUGUAUAGGAUGUCUGAUUACCGUGAGAGCAUGAGCUGUGCUGAAUCUCCAGCUAGCCACAAUGAAAAGCCUUUUGGAGAGAGAAUGUCCAGUCAACCUCCCAGCUGUUCCAGCCUUUCCAACAGAGGUAUCAAACAGAGGAAAAGGCCAUGUGAGGACACAGCAAGAAGGUGGGUGAUUUGCAAGCUAGGAAGAGAGUCUUCACCAGAAACCAAAUUUGCUAGUAUCUUGCUCUUGAAAUUCAAGCCUCCAGAAUCGUGAAAAAUAAGUUGGUUGUUUAAGCCACCCAAUCAGUGGUACUUUGUUAUGGCAGCCCAAGCACACUAAAGCAUC
rnacentral:lncRNA from 1 species